rnacentral:misc_RNA from 1 species
GAUGAAGAACGUAGCGAAAUGCGAUACUUGGUGUGAAUUGCAGAAUCCCGUGAACCAUCGAGUCUUUGAACGCAAGUUGCCCCCGAAGCCAUUAGGCCGAGGGCACGCCUGCCUGGGCGUCACACGUCGUUGCCCCCCCAUCUACUCCUUCGGGAUUGCGGGGGGCGGAUGAUGGCCUCCCGUGCGCCUCGUCGCGCGGUUGGCAUAAAUGCCAAGUCCUCGGCGACACACGCCACGACAAUCGGUGGUUGCGAAACCUCGGUUGCCCGUCGUGUGCGGUCGUCGCGCAUCGAGGGCUCGAAAAAAUUGCCGGGCUCCGGCUCGGCUUUCAACGCGACCCCAGGUCAGGCGGGGUUACCCGCUGAAUUUAAGCAUAUCAAUAAGCGGAGGA